AGUAGGGAAUCUUCCACAAUGGACGAAAGUCUGAUGGAGCAACGCCGCGUGAGCGAUGAAGGCCUUCGGGUCGUAAAGCUCUGUUGUUAGGGAAGAACAAGUACCGGAGUAACUGCCGGUACCUUGACGGUACCUAACCAGAAAGCCACGGCUAACUACGUGCCAGCAGCCGCGGUAAUACGUAGGUGGCAAGCGUUGUCCGGAAUUAUUGGGCGUAAAGCGCGCGCAGGCGGUCCUUUAAGUCUGAUGUGAAAGCCCACGGCUCAACCGUGGAGGGUCAUUGGAAACUGGAGGACUUGAGUGCAGAAGAGGAAAGCGGAAUUCCACGUGUAGCGGUGAAAUGCGUAGAGAUGUGGAGGAACACCAGUGGCGAAGGCGGCUUUCUGGUCUGUAACUGACGCUGAGGCGCGAAAGCGUGGGGAGCAAA
rnacentral:rRNA from 1 species